CCUCGCUUCUCUUCUCCUCUCCUUCUUCUAGGUUUUUCUUGCUUCUCUUCGCAGAAGCUUAAAGAAAUGGAAGCUUCAUCGUAGAAGCUUCUAACUUUUUCUCUCUUCUCUUUUUUUGUUCUAUUUCUUUCUCUCGAGCGAUUUUUUCUACUCCGUCGUCCCCGAUCCUUACCUCUGCACCACCACCACUGUCACCGUUAGCCCUCCUUUGAUCAUGAGGCCUAGGCUUUUUGGUCAUUCCACGGGCGUAUGCCUUUUUCUUUCUCGAUCUCUCUCGAUUUCUUUCUUAUUGGCUUCUUCGGUGUUUUUUUUUUCCCCUCCCGACGGUGUUUUAUGUCCCUUUGUUGGAAUGUAUGGUUUUGGUUGACUAACAGACGGUGUUUUGUUGAUCCAUGUGCUUUAUCUUCGGCUUUGAUGGAUUUUUGUGUGCAAACAGUUUAUGUAGGUCCCUGUCAUUUACUCCUUCAUAUACUUAUUGCUGCGUGUCCUUUUAUCGACAUUGACCCUUGCAUGGUCUGUUUUGGUACUUGCGGUGAUAUUGGCAGCAUUUGAGUUCCUUAGUCGACAUUCGUCCUUCACACUUGAAGCAUUACUUCAUAUCGACCUCUUUUCUAUUACUUCUUCCACUCUGGAUGCGCACACUUAUUCAUCUUCCUACAAGAGAUUUAUAUGCAUGUGCUUCAUUUUUCCCGUGGUUGAUUUCUAUAGGCUGUCGCUUCGGCUCAUUCUCUAUUUAAGGGGGUAUUCAUAACGCUGCAGGUACUAUUAAUAACUUUUGCCUACAUCUUCUUAAUAUUUGUUACAUUGUUUUCCCGAGUUGCUAUCACUAUUUGUUGUUUGCUAUGGUAUGCAAAAAAAAAACUUUUUCUAUUGU